rnacentral:rRNA from 1 species
UGGGGAAUUUUGGACAAUGGGCGCAAGCCUGAUCCAGCCAUGCCGCGUGCGGGAAGAAGGCCUUCGGGUUGUAAACCGCUUUGCUCAUGGAAGGAAAGAACUUCUUCGAGUUAAUACCUCGGGAGGAUGACGGUACCUGAAGAAUAAGCACCGGCUAACUACGUGCCAGCAGCCGCGGUAAUACGUAGGGUGCAAGCGUUAAUCGGAAUUACUGGGCGUAAAGCGUGCGCAGGCGGUUUUGUAAGACAGAGGUGAAAUCCCCGGGCUCAACCUGGGAACUGCCUUUGUGACUGCAAGGCUUGAGUGCGGCAGAGGGGGAUGGAAUUCCGCGUGUAGCAGUGAAAUGCGUAGAUAUGCGGAGGAACACCGAUGGCGAAGGCAAUCCCCUGGGCCUGCACUGACGCUCAUGCACGAAAGCGUGGGGAGCAAACAGGAUUAGAUACCCUGGUAGUCCACGCCCUAAACGAUGUCAACUGGUUGUUGGGAAGGUUCCUUCUCAGUAACGUAGCUAACGCGUGAAGUUGACCGCCUGGGGAGUACGGCCGCAAGGUUGAAACUCAAAUGAAUUGACGGGGUCAUAGCUGUUUCCUG